UUUCUUCCAUAGCUACAGUUCUUCAAGCAGGAAUAGGACACCAACCGGGUCCUGCCAUUGGCUGGGGCGGUAGCUGGAGGUGUUGGGGUGAUCGUAGAUGCCACAUGAGAAAAGUAGGCCCGCAUGGGUAGGAGUACCAUCACCAGAUGCCGGUACCGGGGAUAGUGUGGUCACCUGAAGGCUGAAGUCAUGUUAAAGAUGUUGUGUUGCUUAUAAAGGAUAUGUAUGUACUUUAAUAUCUACUUUUUUACAAUAAUUAGUAAGAACUAGUACCAUGCGUUCAAAACUAUUAUUAAAUCUAUUAUUAUAAAGACACCCUUCAUUAA